AAAGACGAGCGGAGGGGUGGGGCCAACGUACCUGGACUUCUCUUCUUUGGGCGUCUUUGGGACAAAGGAGGGGAGGACAUUUUUUUUACUCGAGCAGCAGCAAGAGGAGGAAAGAAGUCGUGCUGGGCCCUUAAGGUGCAAUGCAUUUCGCUGGAUCCUCACAACUCGGGAAGAUGGUCUUGCCCUCCUUCCCAUUUUACAGGUGGGGAAAUCUCAGGGAGGCGAGGGGCCCCAGCCCAAGGCAAGAUGGCUGUCAGCCACAGGCUUGGACUUGAAGCCAGGUCUUCCAUAUUGGUCCAUCUUUGUCCUGUGGGCCAGGCUGGAGUGUGAAUUCGGAGGUGACAAGACACGCUACAUCUUUCCGGA
rnacentral:lncRNA from 1 species